UUGUCAGUAACUUGGUUUUUAAGCUUCAGACUGUAUUUCCUCCUCACUUGUUAACACCAGAAGAUAAAUGAAUGUGGCUCUUGGAUUGAACUACAUCUACAGGGAGCUGAACUUCCCAUGUUGACGUUGAAUUCUAGAGUAUGCUUAUGCUGAUUCUUGAGAAAUUGGAGAGUCCCGUAUUCUCAGAGUAAAAGUUGUUUCUGGAAUUGAUCUCGCCA
rnacentral:lncRNA from 1 species